AACGAACGCUGGCGGCGUGCCUAACACAUGCAAGUCGAACGGAAUGAGGGGGCUUGCUCCUUCAUUUAGUGGCGCACGGGUGAGUAACGCGUAGAUAAUCUGCCUGAUGAUCUGGGAUAACAUCUCGAAAGGGGUGCUAAUACCGGAUAAGCCCACGGGGUCUUUGGACUCUGCGGGAAAAGGGGGGGACCUCCGGGCCUUCUGUCAUCAGAUGAGUCUGCGUACCAUUAGCUAGUUGGUAGGGUAAUGGCCUACCAAGGCGACGAUGGUUAGCUGGUCUGAGAGGAUGAUCAGCCACACUGGAACUGAGACACGGUCCAGACUCCUACGGGAGGCAGCAGUGGGGAAUUUUGCGCAAUGGGCGAAAGCCUGACGCAGCAACGCCGCGUGAGUGAUGAAGGCUUUCGGGUCGUAAAGCUCUGUCAAGGGGAAAGAAGUGUAUUGUGGUUAAUACCCGCGAUACUUGACGGUACCCCUAAAGGAAGCACCGGCUAACUCCGUGCCAGCAGCCGCGGUAAUACGGAGGGUGCAAGCGUUGUUCGGAUUUAUUGGGCGUAAAGCGCGUGUAGGCGGUUUAUUAAGUCUGAUGUGAAAGCCCUGGGCUCAACCCAGGAAGUGCAUUGGAUACCGGUAGACUUGAAUACGGGAGAGGGCAGUGGAAUUCCUGGUGUAGGAGUGAAAUCCGUAGAUAUCAGGAGGAACACCGGUGGCGAAGGCGGCUGCCUGGACCGAUAUUGACGCUGAGACGCGAAAGCGUGGGUAGCAAACAGGAUUAGAUACCCUGGUAGUCCACGCCGUAAACGAUGAGUACUAGGUGUUGCGGGUAUUGACCCCUGCAGUGCCGCAGCUAACGCAUUAAGUACUCCGCCUGGGAAGUACGGUCGCAAGACUA
rnacentral:rRNA from 1 species